GACAGAGGGUGCAAACGUUGUUCGGAUUUACUGGGCGUAAAGCGCGUGUAGGCGGCCUUGCAAGUCGGAUGUGAAAGCCCACGGCUCAACCGUGGAAGUGCAUCCGAAACUGCAUAGCUUGAGUCUCGGAGAGGAAGGUGGAAUGCUUGGUGUAGAGGUGAAAUUCGUAGAUAUCAAGCAGAACACCUGCGGCGAAGGCGGCCUUCUGGACGACGACUGACGCUGAGACGCGAAAGCGUGGGGAGCAAACAGG
rnacentral:rRNA from 1 species